CUAACAUGGAUGGAGAUGGCUGGUCUCUACAACCUCAAGGCCGGCAAUGGCAUGUUGAGACAUAACCCCAUAGCUGCCUCCGGUCACAGCUGAGAUCUCUAGGGUCCUGUGAAGCUGUGAUAUAAAGAUUACAUCAGCUAAAGGUCUGCUUCCUCUGGAGGUGAGAACAGGGGUAGAUGGGAAGAGACGCCCUCAGAGGU